CCUACGGGUGGCUGCAGUGGGGAAUAUUGGACAAUGGGGGGAACCCUGAUCCAGCCAUGCCGCGUGUGUGAAGAAGGCCCUCGGGUUGUAAAGCACUUUCAGUGAGGAAGAACGCCUGGUGGUUAAUACCCAUCAGGAAAGACAUCACUCACAGAAGAAGCACCGGCUAACUCCGUGCCAGCAGCCGCGGUAAUACGGAGGGUGCGAGCGUUAAUCGGAAUUACUGGGCGUAAAGCGCGCGUAGGUGGCUUGAUAAGCCGGUUGUGAAAGCCCCGGGCUCAACCUGGGAACGGCAUCCGGAACUGUCAAGCUAGAGUGCAGGAGAGGAAGGUAGAAUUCCCGGUGUAGCGGUGAAAUGCGUAGAGAUCGGGAGGAAUACCAGUGGCGAAGGCGGCCUUCUGGACUGACACUGACACUGAGGUGCGAAAGCGUGGGUAGCAAACAGGAUUAGAUACCUCAGUAGUC
rnacentral:rRNA from 1 species